GAUGAACGCUGGCGGCGUGCCUAAUACAUGCAAGUCGAGCGAACAGACGAGGAGCUUGCUCCUCUGACGUUAGCGGCGGACGGGUGAGUAACACGUGGAUCACCUACCUAUAAUACUGGGAUAACUUCGGGAAACCGGAGCUAAUACCGGAUAAUAUAUUGAACCGCAUGGUUCAAUAGUGAAAGACGGUUUUGCUGUCACUUAUAGAUGGAUCCGCGCCGCAUUAGCUAGUUGGUAAGGUAACGGCCUACCAAGGCCACGAUGCGUAGCCGACCUGAGAGGGUGAUCAGCCACACUGGAACUGAGACACGGUCCAGACUCCUACGGGAGGCAGCAGUAGGGAAUCUUCCGCAAUGGGCGAAAGCUUGACGGAGCAACGCCGCGUGAGUGAUGAAGGUCUUCGGAUCGUAAAACUCUGUUAUUAGGGAAGAACAAAUGUGUAAGUAACUAUGCACGUCUUGACGGUACCUAAUCAGAAAGCCACGGCUAACUACGUG
rnacentral:rRNA from 1 species